AUAUACUGAAUGCGGCUACUAUGUGAUGAAGUUCAUGCAAGAGAUAACUUACGAAGGAGUUGAAAUACUUGACAAUGAUAAUGUUGGGAAAGGAGUAGAAGAAUACUCGGCUGCGGAUAUGGAUGACAUUCGUGAAGAUUAGUCGACUUAUGGGUUAACUCUACUUUUAAGUUAUAAAUCGUAUUUUAGGUGUUGACGAUGUAUUGACAAACAAUUCUUUUUUUGUUAACGUUAAAAUAUUUGUAGUAUACUUGAAAAAUGAUUAUGUAAUGGAUUGUUUUGGUAUAUAUAUAUGUGUAUUUGUUUUAUG